rnacentral:rRNA from 1 species
AUUGAACGCUGGCGGAAUGCUUUACACAUGCAAGUCGAACGGCAGCAUAGGUGCUUGCACCUGAUGGCGAGUGGCGAACGGGUGAGUAAUACAUCGGAACGUGCCCAGUCGUGGGGGAUAACGUAGCGAAAUUUACGCUAAUACCGCAUACGAUCUAAGGAUGAAAGCGGGGGACCGUAAGGCCUCGCGCGAUUGGAGCGGCCGGUGUCAGAUUAGGUAGUUGGUGAGGUAAAGGCUCACCAAGCCGACGAUCUGUAGCUGGUCUGAGAGGACGACCAGCCACACUGGGACUGAGACACGGCCCAGACUCCUACGGGAGGCAGCAGUGGGGAAUUUUGGACAAUGGACGCAAGUCUGAUCCAGCCAUUCCGCGUGCAGGACGAAGGCCUUCGGGUUGUAAACUGCUUUUGUACGGAACGAAAAAGCUCUUACUAAUACUAGGAGUCCAUGACGGUACCGUAAGAAUAAGCACCGGCUAACUACGUGCCAGCCGCCGCAGUAA